GGGGAAUAUUGGACAAUGGGCGCAAGCCUGAUCCAGCAACGCCGCGUGGAGGACGAAGGUCUUCGGAUCGUAAACUCCUGUCAGGCGGGACGAAGGCUUCCGGGCAAAUAGUCUGGAAGCUUGACGGUACUGCCAGAGGAAGCCCCGGCUAACUACGUGCCAGCAGCCGCGGUAAUACGUAGGGACCAAGCGUUGUUCGGAUUUACUGGGCGUAAAGGGCGCGUAGGCGGCGUGUUAAGUCAGCUGUGAAAUCUCCGAGCUUAACUCGGAACGGUCAGCUGAUACUGAUGUGCUAGAGUGCAGAAGGGGCAAUCGGAAUUCUUGGUGUAGCGGUGAAAUGCGUAGAUAUCAAGAGGAACACCUGAGGUGAAGACGGGUUGCUGGGCUGACACUGACGCUGAGGCGCGAAAGCUAGGGUAGCAAA
rnacentral:rRNA from 1 species